GAUGGACGCUGGCGGCGUGCUUAACACAUGCAAGUCGAACGAUGACGACCGAGCUUGCUCGGUCUGAUUAGUGGCGAACGGGUGAGUAACACGUGAGCAACCUGCCCUUCACUCUGGGAUAACCUCGGGAAAUCGGGGCUAAUACCGGAUACGAGCUCCUGUCGCAUGGCGGGUGUUGGAAAGUUUUUCGGUGAAGGAUGGGCUCGCGGCCUAUCAGUUUGUUGGUGAGGUAGUGGCUCACCAAGGCGAUGACGGGUAGCCGGCCUGAGAGGGCGACCGGCCACACUGGGACUGAGACACGGCCCAGACUCCUACGGGAGGCAGCAGUGGGGAAUAUUGCACAAUGGGCGAAAGCCUGAUGCAGCGACGCCGCGUGAGGGAUGACGGCCUUCGGGUUGUAAACCUCUUUCAGCAGGGAAGAAGCGAAAGUGACGGUACCUGCAGAAGAAGCGCCGGCUAACUACGUG
rnacentral:rRNA from 1 species